rnacentral:rRNA from 1 species
AUUGAACGCUGGCGGCAGGCCUAACACAUGCAAGUCGAACGAGUGGCGGACGGGUGAGUAAUGUCUGGGAAACUGCCCGAUGGAGGGGGAUCACUACUGGAAACGGUAGCUAAUACCGCAUACCAUCGGAUGUGCCCAGAUGGGAUUAGCUAGUAGGGGGGGUAAUGGCUCACCUAUGCGACGAUCCCUAGCUGGUCUGAGAGGAUUACCAGCCAAACGGGAACUGAGAGACUGUCCAGCCUGCUACGGGAGGAAGCGGUGGGGAAUAGGGCACAAUGGGCGCAAGCCUGAUGCAGCCAGGCCGAGUGUAUGAAGAAGGCCUUCGGGUUGUAAAGUACUUUCAGCGGUGAGGCGUUACCCGCAGAAGAAGCACCGGCUAAGUCCGUGCCAGCGGCGGCGGUAAUA